rnacentral:rRNA from 1 species
AGAGUUUGAUCCUGGCUCAGGACGAACGCUGGCGGCGUGCCUAACACAUGCAAGUCGAACGAGAAUCUUUGAACAGAUCUUUUCGGAGUGACGUUCAAAGAGGAAAGUGGCGGACGGGCGAGUAACGCGUGAGUAACCUGCCCAUAAGAGGGGGAUAAUCCAUGGAAACGUGGACUAAUACCGCAUAUUGUAGUUAAGUUGCAUGACUUGAUUAUGAAAGAUUUAUCGCUUAUGGAUGGACUCGCGUCAGAUUAGAUAGUUGGUGAGGUAACGGCUCACCAAGUCAACGAUCUGUAGCCGAACUGAGAGGUUGAUCGGCCGCAUUGGGACUGAGACACGGCCCAGACUCCUACGGGAGGCAGCAGUGGGGAAUAUUGCGCAAUGGGGGCAACCCUGACGCAGCAACGCCGCGUGCAGGAAGAAGGUCUUCGGAUUGUAAACUGUUGUCGCAAGGGAAGAAGACAGUGACGGUACCUUGUGAGAAAGUCACGGCUAACUACGUGCCAGCAGCCGCGGUAAUACGUAGGUGACAAGCGUUGUCCGGAUUUACUGGGUGUAAAGGGCGCGUAGGCGGACUGUCAAGUCAGUCGUGAAAUACCGGGGCUUAACCCCGGGGCUGCGAUUGAAACUGACAGCCUUGAGUAUCGGAGAGGAAAGCGGAAUUCCUAGUGUAGCGGUGAAAUGCGUAGAUAUUAGGAGGAACACCAGUGGCGAAGGCGGCUUUCUGGACGACAACUGACGCUGAGGCGCGAAAGUGUGGGGAGCAAACAGGAUUAGAUACCCUGGUAGUCCACACCGUAAACGAUGGAUACUAGGUGUAGGAGGUAUCGACCCCUUCUGUGCCGCAGUUAACACAAUAAGUAUCCCACCUGGGGAGUACGACCGCAAGGUUGAAACUCAAAGGAAUUGACGGGGGCCCGCACAAGCAGUGGAGUAUGUGGUUUAAUUCGAAGCAACGCGAAGAACCUUA